rnacentral:rRNA from 1 species
CCAAUAGCGUAUAUUAAAGUUGUUGCAGUUAAAAAGCUCGUAGUUGAAUUUCGGGAUUGACACAUCGGUCGUGCCUUAAGGGGUAUGAACUGGUGUAGUCAGUUUCUCACCUUCUGGAGAACCGCGAUGUCCUUAAUUGGGUGCCGCGAGGAACCAGGACCUUUACUUUGAAAAAAUUAGAGUGUUUAAAGCAGGCAUUUUGCUUGAAUACAUUAGCAUGGAAUAAUAAAAUAGGACGGAUGGUUCUAUUUUGUUGGUUUCUAGGAUCACCGUAAUGAUUAAUAGGGAUAGUUGGGGGCAUUAGUAUUCAAUUGUCAGAGGUGAAAUUCUUGGAUUUAUUGAAGACUAACUACUGCGAAAGCAUUUGCCAAGGAUGUUUUCAUUAAUCAAGAACGAAAGUUAGGGGAUCGAAGACGAUCAGAUACCGUCGUAGUCUUAACCAUAAACUAUGCCGACUAGGAAUCAGACGAUGUUAAUUUUUUAAUGACUCGUUUGGCACCUUACG